GAGGCAUCCCCGGUCGUUGCCAUGGAGUCUGAUACCACGUUGUUACGGUGCUGGGCUUUGCUGCGGAGGUUGUAGGGAGGAGAGUGGAGAGGUUGAGGGCGUGAGCGUUGACGGCGGCGGAGAGCCGUCGCUGGCAGAGCAGGAAGACGUACAGGGAAACAGGGAAGGGGUGCUGGGCGCCCAAGGGUGUCUUAGACACAAUCCCAGGCUGCCUGAUUCAUUAACUUGACUGGACUUUAUAGUCCUAUUACAAUCUAGGUAACAAACGCUUAACAAACUCUGAUUCCUUUAUCAAACCUUGACUCUAACCCAAACUCUAUCAUAUCUGGACUCUAACCCA
rnacentral:lncRNA from 1 species